UCCAGACUCCUACGGGAGGCAGCAGUGGGGGAUAUUGCACAAUGGGGGGAACCCUGAUGCAGCGACGCCGCGUGGGUGAAGGAGCGUUUCGGCGCGUAAAGCCCUAUCGGCAGGGAAGAAGGAGGACGGUACCUGACUAAGAAGCCCCGGCUAACUACGUGCCAGCAGCCGCGGUAAUACGUAGGGGGCAAGCGUUAUCCGGAUUUACUGGGUGUAAAGGGGGCGCAGACGGCAGCGCAAGCCAGGAGUGAAAGCCCGGGGCCCAACCCCGGGACUGCUCUUGGAACUGCGCGGCUGGAGUGCAGGAGGGGCAGGCGGAAUUCCUGGUGUAGCGGUGAAAUGCGUAGAUAUCAGGAGGAACACCGGUGGCGAAGGCGGCCUGCUGGACUGCGACUGACGUUGAGGCCCGAAAGCGUGGGGAGCAAACAGGAUUAGAUACCCCAGUACGA
rnacentral:rRNA from 1 species